GGGCCGGUAGCUCAGCCUGGUUAUCUUUCGAAACAGAAAGAGCACUGGUCUUAUAAACCAGCGGUCGCGUGUUCGAAUCGCGCCCGGCCCA
rnacentral:tRNA from 1 species